rnacentral:rRNA from 1 species
UCAUCGUCAGCGGCGCUGGCUUCGCGUCGGUGGGCGAUGUCCCGCGGAGUCCUCGCGGCUCUCGCGCGGGCACGCUACCGUGCGUCGAUGUCCGGCGCUCGUCGUCGUGCACUUCUCCCCAAGUAGAACGUCGCGACCCGCUGGGUGUCGGUCUACGGCCCGGGUGCGGUGACUGUCGCGUCGCCGGUAAAACGGCACGCGACAAACCCUCGGUCGCCCGGCCGGCUGCUCGGCGGUACGCGCAAGGUAUCAGGCCGCACUUAUUUACGGUGCGUCGAGGCCGUCGCAAGCGCGCGCCACGGUACUCGGAGGUUACGGACUUUGCGCCGUCCCCGGUCCUGGCCCGCUGUUGGUUAAAGUACGGAUCACCUUCGACAGGCCUGUCGAACGUCCCCCCCCCCCCCUCGGGGGGGACGGGGGACAUAUACCGGUCGGCGACGCUACUGCUUUGGGUACUCUUAGGACCCGUCUUGAAACACGGACCAAGGAGUCUAACAUGUACGCGAGUCAUUGGGACUUGUCGCGAGACCUAAAGGCGUAAUGAAAGUGAAGAUCGACCCUGGCCGUCGAUCGAGGGAGGAUGGGCCGCGUCGCGAUGCGGCCUCGCACUCCCUGGGCGUCUCGUUCUCAUCGCGAGAAGAGGCGCACCAAGAGCGUACACGUUGGGACCCGAAAGAUGGUGAACUAUGCCUGGUCAGGACGAAGUCAGGGGAAACCCUGAUGGAGGUCCGUAGCGAUUCUGACGUGCAAAU